GACGAACGCUGGCGGCGUGCUUAACACAUGCAAGUCGAACGGAAAGGCCCUGCUUUUGUGGGGUGCUCGAGUGGCGAACGGGUGAGUAACACGUGAGUAACCUGCCCUUGACUUUGGGAUAACUUCAGGAAACUGGGGCUAAUACCGGAUAGGAGCUCCUGCUGCAUGGUGGGGGUUGGAAAGUUUCGGCGGUUGUGGAUGGACUCGCGGCUUAUCAGCUUGUUGGUGGGGUAGUGGCUUACCAAGGCUUUGACGGGUAGCCGGCCUGAGAGGGUGACCGGCCACAUUGGGACUGAGGUACGGCCCAGACUCCUACGGGAGGCAGCAGUGGGGAAUAUUGCACAAUGGGCGGAAGCCUGAUGCAGCAACGCCGCGUGCGGGAUGACGGCUUUCGGGUUGUAAACCGCUUUCGCCUGUGACGAAGCGUGAGUGACGGUAAUGGGUAAAGAAGCACCGGCUAACUACGUG
rnacentral:rRNA from 1 species